GAGAAUGUAGCUCAGUGGUAGCGCUCAUACUUAGCAUGUAUGAGGACCCAGGUUCGAUCCCCGGCAUCUCCA
rnacentral:tRNA from 1 species